CAGGGAAGUAGAAAAACGACAGAGAGGGAAGACAGAAAGAAUAAGAGGUACAGAAAGGAAGGAGUAUCUACAAGCUGGGGGUUUGCUUUCUAACCGUUAGCCGUGGUGGUGUUUUUUUUUUUUGUGUGUGGAAAUCAAACAUUUAUAAAUCCUUCUUUAGAGCUGUGUCUGUACACAGUGGGGUGUUCCUGUUUGCUCUGCUGCCUCCAUUUACUCAUCAGGAGCGGCAGGCUAGACUCCACCAGCAUCCUCCAAGAGAACCGCCUGCUGCGACAUCGCAAGCAUCCCGAGCCUCAACGGAUUGAUCUAUACUUGAGAGAAGCCAUGGACCAAGCAGAGAAUAAAACCACUUCGCCACUGAAGCAGACGGUCAAAAAUCGGUCCAAAUCGACAGAUGAGGUGCAGCAAGCGAAAAAGGCCUUUCACACACCACAGAAGUCUCUUCCAGCCAAAUCAGAGACGGAGAAGCUGGAGGCGGACACCGAGGAGCUCGGCGCUUCAUCCGAGGAGCU